GCCGGGCUGUCUAAACUCCCUUCGUGUUCUCACCGACAACGCAUUAUCCGUCCCUCUUACGAGCGAGAACGCGUGUGCCAGCGUCGUGGAGGCGUCGCGUCGCAAAUACAGAGAUCGCGCGGUUAUUAAUAACGUUAUUAAUCGCGAAGGCUCGUGCAAGUGGUGCGAAAUUCGAGAAAUCAAAGCACGGUUAUUACUCAAGCCGUGGCCGACAAUACCAGGCUGCUUUAUUCCAGCCGGAUAUGUAGGUUACCAGCGAGCCUAACAGAAGUGGCGGACAAUGAGAAGCGAGAGGAUGAUCCAAGACUGAGAGAAAAAUAGCGCACGCGAGAGCGAGACGGUUAGUGAUCAUCGUAGCUCCCCUUUUCGGUGGCCCAUCGAGAAAGAGGCAGUGGACGAGGAGAGAAGAGAAGAGACGCAACGGGAAUCGUAAGCGAGAGACGCUUUGCUUGAGACGUACGGUACAAAAGAGGAGCGGAAAGCAAAGCUACGGCCACCUUUACAGACAGCCUUCGUAUAAACAUGUCAGUCCGCCGAGGCUCGUCUCGAGAAACGGGCCCGCGUUCAUCCAUCACUUCGUCCCCCUGACUUCCUUCGUCUAG
rnacentral:misc_RNA from 1 species